GUAAGUACAUUGAAUACAUUACUUUGAAGAUCAAGGACGGUUUUUAUCAAGGCAUAGCAAGACAAGUAAUCGAGGCGUGGUCGGAGAUAUUGUAUAUAAAUCAGAGCAUUUGCUCAACAGAUAUCACUUGUGAAAACUCUUCCAAGCAACUCCAUAACAAUGUUCUUCAAACUGUUCGCUUUAUUUGCCCUCGUGGCGGUGGCUUUCGCCAACCCUAAGCCCGAGCCUCAAGUUUUAGCCUACGGUGCUGGACUCUUACCUUCCUACCCUUACUAUUCAUCUGGUAUCUACGCCGCUGCUGCUCCUUACAACGCACUACCCUACGCUUACAACGGAUACUUUCUUCGCUAAGACUAAACUAUGAGGCCACCUGAUCGCCAGGCAUUUUAAGAUUUCCUGAAAUAAUUGUAAUUCCUUUUGUUUUAGAAAAUUUUCUAUGCUCACGCUAUGGUGACCUUAACCGAAUUUUCGCUAGAUCAAUGAAUUUGAAAUGCCUAACGUUUAAAUAAAUUUUUAUGCAUA